AAUGAUGAUGCAUAUCGUUUUAAGAUAUAUCAUUUGCAUAUUUCUGAAAAAGAAUAUUGCUUGGAUCGCAGUAUUCUUUAUAGCCUAUUACGCAACUCCGUGACACGAAAAUCUACCGCAAUGGAGACUUUUUUUUAAGAAUUUUAUAGAAUUACUUAGCCUUAAUACGAUAAUCACACAGGAUUAUAUGAUUUAAUUCAAGAUUCUAUACAAUAUUAUAUCUCGAAUCACUAUACGCAAAAUUAUUAUAAUUAAAUCAAGCCCAAAGCCAUAUGCCAAUUCUGUGAGUAUUAAUAAGACAAAAUUAUUUUCACUUUCAAAGAAAGUAAAUCAUUAUUGUCUCAGAUUUAUCAUCAACAAAUAUACAUAUAACCUUCAUUCACUUACGUCAAAAGAUGAAGUGCUCUUUCUAUAGGUUUUUUUUCCAAACCAGGAUCUAAAGUGUGUUUCUUUAAUUGCUCUUCAUUCUAGAGAAGGAAUUGUAAAUCGAUCGUUUUAGAAAUGUUCUACUUUGAAUGAAAUGAAUAUGAAUAAUGUGCACAAUGUUACUUACUCUUACAUCAGGUAUAGGCUUGUCUAAUUGAAGGCUAGCAAAUUCCUCAUAGUCCAUAAACAUGAUGCACGCAUUUUACGAUGAAUGCUGUUAACGGAUAUAACCCCAUUUAUUUGAAAGAAUUGAUCAGAACAGGAAACGCAUAUUCAGGUGAUAUCUCGUACGGAAGUAAAAAACACGAUCGUUCGCCAUGGAUUUCGCCAAGAAUGAUUAUUGAAAUUCUACAUGUAGAUGCUCCUAUAGGAAAUUCUCGAAGGACGCAAGAAAUGAAUAUUACCGAACACACGCAAUUGUAUAAAAUAUGAAAUAUAUUUACUUUUCAUAAUAUGUCGUAUAAUUUAGAUAAGUAUACGUACUUUACGGGCAUUGCAUACAGUUUAUCAUAUACGUUUAACGAUAUAAAAGAUUAUAGUUUACAUUAAUAUAUACAGAAGAGCGAAAGAUUUGGAUCAUAUUUGAACAGUGCCAUUGAACUUUCGCGUGUAUCUUAUAGUUUUAAGAUAAUCGCUUGUAUUCUCAUACGAAGCACAAUUAUAUGUUCUACAAUUUAUAUGUUCUAAGUUUAAAAAAUAUAAAACAAAAUGUGAUAAUUAUUAAUAACAGAGAGAGAAAAAGAGAGAAGGGGGAGAGGAGUAUGAAUUAUUCAAUUGUAAUUUUUAUUCCGCAGUGAAUGAACUUCCGGUUAAAAGACAAAAAGGAAGCGAGGAACACAAAUGUACAUAGAAUGAAAAAGGAAACGAUAUGAUGGAGUCAAUGCUGUUUUCUUAUUGCGCGGAACGUAUUAGCAAACAUGAAACAAUCUCGAAAUUGCAAGACAUUUCGAUAAAGAGAUGUGCGUUUGGUUAAAAGUAUUUAAAAAGAUAAUGUUAAAACAACGAAUGGAAACAAACCUCACUCCACCUUUCUUGAUUCGACUGCAAUAAAAUUUACAUUUUAUUAUCGCGAUUCGUUCCACAGAUAUUGAUGUCUGAAAGCAGUUUGCAUUCGAAUAUCUAUGGAAAUAUUUUUUUCUCUCUGCUCGCAUAGUAUGUGUAUUUUACAUUUUAUAUAUACAUAUGUAUAUAUGUAUAUAUAUAUAUAUAUCUCAUUCUCCUUUAUUCUUGUUUUUUACAAAAAUUCUUCGCGUAAGAAAAGAAAUUACGAAUAAUAUCAUUUCGACGCAAGUCUUGUCCGCUAAAGCUUACAUUUAACAAUAAACGUUUCUAUAUGAAUGUCUAAUAGAGAGAGAAAAAAAAAAAAAGAAAGAAAA